rnacentral:rRNA from 1 species
UACGGGGGGGGUAAGCGUUGUUCGGAAUUACUGGGCGUAAAGGGCUCGUAGGCGGCCAACUAAGUCAGACGUGAAAUCCCUCAGCUUAACUGGGGAACUGCGUCUGAUACUGGAUGGCUUGGAUUCGGGAGAGGAAUGCGGAAUUCCAGGUGUAGCGGUGAAAUGCGUAGAUAUCUGGAGGAACACCGGUGGCGAAGGCGGCAUUCUGGACCGAUAUUGACGCUGAGGCACGAAGGCCAGGGGAGCAAACGGG